GUUCUGGCUCAACGCCCAGGUUCUGCUCACCUGACCAAUUCCGGGAGCUACCAAUCAUUCCACCCCAGGGCUCUCCUCCUUUCCUCCCACAACCACCACCCCACUUUUCCUCUCCAGGAUGCAGACAGCCCCCACAGAGGGCAGAGAACUCAGGAAACAGGCUCUCUUUCCUUUGCCAGAAAACAUGACCCUGAGAGGAAAUUCAGCUCCUCAUAAUGAUCAGCUUCACCAGGGUUCUGUGGUGAUUAUGACAAGGCGAAGAAGAGUUCUGGGAGCAUCACAUAUGAAAGGACGUUAUGACCAGCCCUGGGCCUGACAAGUACAAACCGAUACCUUGAAUCAUCACCUCUUCUCAGGAUUGAAUUUCACCCACUAAGGUGCUGGUUAAUCACACAGCAGUUAGGCCUUCGUGGACCACGUCACAGCUCCCUUGUAGCCUGUGUUUAACCACAGCAUCUUAGGAUAGGCAAGUUCUGGUCCAAGUCUCUGUAUCAAGGCAAGAUCACAUCUUUGUGUGAAGAAAUUAAUAACCUUAGAUUUUUGUUCCCCAGAACCUUUUUAAAUUAAAAAAAACAAAAGCAUUGAGGCCUUUGAUUUUUACAUUCCAGUCAUUUAUGGAAAUCAUUCCUUAGAAAUAUUUUUUUUUCUCCUUAUAACAAAGAAAAAUAACUAAGCAAAGACACUCAGCACAGUGACCAUGACUGGCAACAUACAAAACACUGUGCCUUAAUAAUCCCCUACUAACUUGUUUUCCCAGAUCUUAGUACAGUGCUUGGCACACAGUAAGCACUAAAUAAAAGUUUGUUGAAUUGAGUAUGAAUUAAAUUU
rnacentral:lncRNA from 1 species